UUUGACCUCGGAUCAGGUAGGAAUACCCGCUGAACUUAAGCAUAU
rnacentral:rRNA from 23 species